GAGGGUAUAGCUCCGUGGUAGAGCAUAUGCUUAGAAUGCACAAGGUCCUGGGUUCAAUCCCCAGUACCGCCU
rnacentral:tRNA from 1 species